UGGGGAAUCUUGCACAAUGGGGGAAACCCUGAUGCAGCGACGCCGCGUGAACGAUGAAGCCCUUCGGGGUGUAAAGUUCUUUCGACAGGAACGAUAAUGACGGUACCUGGAGAAGAAGCUGCGGCUAACUACGUGCCAGCAGCCGCGGUAAUACGUAGGCAGCGAGCGCUGGUCGGAGUUACUGGGCGUAAAGAGUGCGUAGGCGGCGAGCCAAGUUUGGUGUGAAAUCUCCCGGCUUAACCGGGAGGGUGCGCCGAAAACUGGUUGGCUGGAGUAUGGGAGAGGAAAGCGGAAUUCCUGGUGUAGCGGUGAAAUGCGUAGAUAUCAGGAGGAACACCUGCGGUGUAGACAGCUUUCUGGACUAAAACUGACGCUGAGGCACGAAAGCGUGGGUAGCAAACA
rnacentral:rRNA from 1 species